UACGAAGGGUGCAAGCGUUACUCGGAAUUACUGGGCGUAAAGGGUGCGUAGGUGGUUGUUUAAGUCUGUUGUGAAAGCCCCCGGGCUCAACCUGGGAAUGGCAAUGGAUACUGGACAGCUAGAGUGCGGUAGAGGGUAGUGGAAUUCCCGGUGUAGCAGUGAAAUGCGUAGAGAUCGGGAGGAACACCAGUGGCGAAGGCGGCUACCUGGACCAGCACUGACACUGAAGCACGAAAGCGUGGGGAGCAAACAGG
rnacentral:rRNA from 1 species